rnacentral:tRNA from 4 species
AGCGGGAUAGCUCAGCUGGCUAGAGCGUACGACUCAUAAUCGUAAGGUCGGGAGUUCGAGUCUCCCUCUCGCUACGA